rnacentral:rRNA from 1 species
GUUGUAUGGUUAAGUGACUAAGCGUACACGGUGGAUGCCUUGGCAGUCAGAGGCGAUGAAGGACGUAUUAACUUGCGAUAAGCCCAGAGAAGGUAGUAAAAACCGGUGACUCUGGGAUUUCCGAAUGGGGAAACCCACUUACAUAAGUAAGUAUCGUGUUGUGAAUACAUAGCAGCACGAGGCGAACCGGGGGAACUGAAACAUCUAAGUACCCCGAGGAAGAGAAAUCAACCGAGAUUCCGGUAGUAGCGGCGAGCGAAACCGGAUUAGCCCUUAAGCUAGUUUUGCGUUAGGUGAAAGUUCUGGAAAGUUCUGCGAUACAGGGUGAUAGCCCCGUAACCGACAACGCAUUAUCAGUGAAAACGAGUAGGACGGGACACGUGAUAUCCUGUUUGAAUAUGGGGGGACCAUCCUCCAAGGCUAAAUACUCCUGACUGACCGAUAGUGAACCAGUACCGUGAGGGAAAGGCGAAAAGAACCCCUGUGAGGGGAGUGAAAUAGAACCUGAAACCGUGUACGUACAAGCAGUAGGAGCCCACUUGUUGGGUGACUGCGUACCUUUUGUAUAAUGGGUCAGCGACUUAAUUUUAGUAGCAAGGUUAACCGUUUAGGGGAGCCGUAGGGAAACCGAGUCUUAACUGGGCGUAAUAGUUGCUAGGAUUAGACCCGAAACCGAGUGAUCUAGCCAUGGGCAGGUUGAAGGUGAGGUAACACUUACUGGAGGACCGAACCGACUAAUGUUGAAAAAUUAGCGGAUGACUUGUGGCUAGGGGUGAAAGGCCAAUCAAACUCGGAGAUAGCUGGUUCUCCCCGAAAGCUAUUUAGGUAGCGCCUCGGACGAAUACUACUGGGGGUAGAGCACUGUUAAGGCUAGGGGGUCAUCCCGACUUACCAACCCUUUGCAAACUCCGAAUACCAGUAAGUACUAUCCGGGAGACACACGGCGGGUGCUAACGUCCGUCGUGAAGAGGGAAACAACCCAGACCGCCAGCUAAGGUCCCAAAGUUAUAGCUAAGUGGGAAACGAUGUGGGAAGGCUCAGACAGCCAGGAUGUUGGCUUAGAAGCAGCCAUCAUUUAAAGAAAGCGUAAUAGCUCACUGGUCGAGUCGGCCUGCGCGGAAGAUUUAACGGGGCUAAGCUAUACACCGAAGCUGCGGCAAUG